AUGUAGAAUAACACAAGACAAUACAUCGCCCACUGCAAAGAAUUAGAAGGAAAAGCUGUCAUUACAAUAUUGUGCAAAACAAAAAAUAGAUCUUAAUAGCUUACAUCUCGUACCUCUAAAUUCGACGAACUACAAAAGGAGAAAA